UCUGCAGCAUCCCGCCAAUAAGGGGAAAACAUAUACUUUACCAUCAAUUUGGCUCUGGUCUGAACAAAAGACCCAUUAUCUGCUAUUCUACUUUACAUAUCGCUUACACUGAAGGCUGGCAUUGAAAAGAACAACACCUGCUCAUGAAUGGCCUGGACAUAGUUCUGUGAUGGCUGAAGGACAAACAUGCCCACCAAUGAGCCAAUAGAUCUAUCUGUUUCUGCUGGUUACAAUGGAGAGGAAGAUCUAACUGUCACUGUAGAUGUAGGGCGCUCCGCCAAGAAUACUCGCACCGACUAAGUGUUAAUACCCGGUUUGAUUGGGACUCUUAACUGUCUUCCAAGAUUCGAUACCAAGCUUGCAAACUCCGACAUCAAUGGCCUACCACAAAGCUUGGAUCUCUAGCUAUUGCAGUGGGUGCAUAUGAUGUAGGGAAACUGAAUUUGGAGCUUGAGGUUCGAAUGAUAAGUGUCUUCAUUCAGCUUGGUUUUGAGGACCAAUCAGACACUGACAUACUUCUGUGCAAGGUCUUCAUCAAGAUAUCCAUAGGAUAGGAAUGACAA